GCCCAACAAACAAGUAGCACUACGCCCGUGCAGUCAUCCAGGUCGUCCCCGUCAACACGGACUCGCGCAGUCCUUGGCCUCCUUGUCAUCUCCUUCCCCCCCAGCACCUAAUCCCGCCGCCACCGCCCCGAAUCUCGGCCACAUGCCUGCGCCCUCUUGAUGGAGACGGAGACAGCGACGGCGCGUUGCCUCAUACCCCGGUGGCCGGGGCUGGAGGACGCCGUGGAUGGCGAUCUCCAUAGGCUGCUCGGUAGACAAGACCCGCACCUGGCCGUGUAAUCCUCCACGGGAUCCGUGGACGCCGCGACAUCUCCUUCCACCGAUUCCUCUUCCGUUGGUUCCACAUCCGCCGCCCAGGCUUGGCGCAGAUCCCACCGAUUCCUAUUCCGCUCGAAUUCUCCAUCCGCGUGACUCCCUUCGAUCUCAGAGGAAGAGGGAGGGAGGUGUUACGUGGUUGCUACGUCUUCCAGCGGAAUAACCCCCGUUGUACUUCGCUCGGCCUUCCUUCGUGGCGACGCUGCUUCCGGGGUUUCUCUGCGGACUUCCCUCCGCACAAUGUGACCUGCAUUGAGGCCGAGAUGGCGAGACCCUCACGCCUACCACUACUUGUUCCAUCCUCCUUGGAGUAGGGUUAGAGCUGCUGCAUAGGUAGUAUUCAUUCCGGUUCAGUCAAUUUCUACAGGCAAAUCUUGGCGUCUUAUGUGAUACUACUACAUUGAUUUGGGGAAUUCUUGAAAUGAGAAUACCUGAUGGCUGGCUGGCAGCCAGAUCAUUUAUGUGUAUAAAUGAUGCCAUGAUACUGUAUGCGGCAUUUUAUUGAGAGGGUGCGAACUGAAAGUGUGAAACAGUUGUUUACGUGUUCAUGUUCUUCAACAGUUAUUCUUCCGACUAUUAGAUGCUUUGCCGAAACAUUCAGUGAGUGAGAUCCAUGAGAAAUACUUAUGAUUAUAUCUUGAGGGAACACUUGUAUAUUGAUCUGCAUGGACUGAUAUUUUUUCUAUCUCAAACAUGACAAUGCCAUCUAUUCUUAAAGAGGACAUCUGGUAGAAAACAUCUUCAGCCAUGGGUUUUCUGCACAUAUAUUUUUCAGCAUCAAUGCUGCAGUGCUGGAGGCACUCAACUCAAAAUGGCAGGGUAGAAGGAAUAUGUGGAGUACGCUGAGGGACGGGCAGCUGGCUUUUAUACGCGGUUGACAGUUUCGACGAUGAUUGAUAUGAUGCCCUUGUAUAUGUACGAGGUAAGAGCAUUGGGUCGGAGAGUAGCUGGAGCAGGAAGGUAACAAGGCAACAUCCUUUCACUCUGAAGACCUCAGAAAAUAGGAAGGAGGAAGGAAAUUUUGGGGGAGAGGAUGAUGCUGCUGGAGGAGAGACUGCGCAACCUGCCCACGCAAGGUAUUCCGUGGACCACCGAUAAAUAGGAGGUACGUGAACUAUGAAUCACACCAGGUUCUCGGUUCAUUAUUCCCUUCUCACUUUACUACUAGAGCAAUGAGCAUGGUCACGAUGGUGUGCCACAUCAAGGUUAACUGCAAAACAUCAAGUUCUUCAGUGAAGUAUAAGACCAUGUUUUCUUGUAACCAAAAUUUGCAACUUUGUUCAAGUUCAACGUUACUUUAGUAUCCUUUUUCAGGAUGUAGAAUCUAGCAAGACCGCCAAUGAAAGAGCCCACUGAACCCAUAUGCAGUAACCUGAGGUUUUUCUUUGAUUCUAUGAAGGGAAUUAAUUUUGUUUUCUGCUUCUGAUGAUGUGAUUUUUGCAACGAGCACGAUGAUUGGGCGUGAGUAUUUCCCACCAAGAUUUCAAAAUUCAUUGAAAAUCUGUGGAUGGUAGCAAUCAAGGCUAGCAGAAAGUGGGCGUUCAGUAGUGAAGAGACGAAUUAAAUUAAACCUCAUUAUCCUUAAUGUUAAAACUAGCAAGGGUGAAAGUUUAUGGAGUUUUGGAAUAUACUAUUAGCAUGAUCCUUUUACAACAAAAAUUGAUUAAUAAUAUAUUCCAAUGAUCACUGCACAAGGAUUCGAAUUUUGACAUCGUCGACUUGCUCUAGCAGAAGGCAUGACAAGGGGACCGCUCUGGCAGACAUGCAUCUCCACUGACUUCAGGACCUCCCAAACGCCUAAGGUAGCUGGCCUUAAAAAAUAUUUUGUUGCUCAUUGUCUAUCCUAUGCUGAAAUUGAUCUUGCUCAUUGCAGCGCAUAUGCAUUUCUUCUAAAGUCGUUACAUCUUGUGCUAGAGCAGUAGUUACUGACGAUUCUUGUGAUGGUUCUCGUUAUGAAAGUUGUAUCUAUUAUCCUAUCUAGAGACAUUUCUUACUUGGAUCUUAAAUUAAAUCUCAUCGGUUCAUUUUGCUCUACAGUUUGUUCACCCAAACAUUACAGUCUCGUGUCAUUCAGUAUGUUGUACUGCAUUUUCUUAUGUGGAGUCAAGUGAUAGUGUUAAGGAGUAUUAGUAUUCAGCAAAUCUGGAGCAUUUUCGAAUUGCUUUCACAUAUUUUGAUUAUCUAUAUGGGACUAGCAUAUGUUGUGUUUAUCACUUAGCAAACCGGUUAAUAUUGUAAAGAAGAACCUCAAGUUUCAGAAAUAUGCAUGGAACACGGAAGUUCAUGGGACUAGCAUAUGGGACUAGCAUAUGCUGUGCAUCUUUCCACUAUAAGAACAAAUAUUCACUUCUGGAAUUGUAGUUACUCUCUUUUUCGGGUGUCAAGAAUAGAGGCUUACACAAUGGCCUUUCUUGCAUUGUUGUAGUGUGGACUUUAAUUUUGUUCACCAACCAAGGUGCGAGUAAAUGCUGGUGCAAUUUAAAAUGUUCUUUUUUGCAUUGCUACAGUAUAGAUCCAUCAUUGCUACAGUCUACUCUUUUUUAAUGCUUAGGUAUUUUAUAAAUUCUACUGUUUAGUGACCUGAAUGCUUUUAGGCAAUGAUAGAUGUACUUUAAUUUUCUUAGUUAACCAAAAAUUUCUGUCCCAUCCUUCUUCAAUUCAGUAACUUCGUGCCUAGGUGCGUCACGGCAAAACUGAAUUGUUUUUUCUCUGUUGUGGAGUUGAUGUUGGUUGGUGGUCUCUUUGGACCAUCAGAAAUGUCUCUUGGUUUUUGAAAAGAAAAUGGUGAGAAACCCAACUGACAGUCAUGAUUGUCCUCUUGACCUCCGUGAUGAUCUGACCAAGUUUACAUCACAUGCUUUGGACCGAACAAAAUUCUGAAUACAAUUCUUUUUUACAACAGCUGAUCCUGUCCUGAAAAUGUUGGCAGUUCCAUGGGGUUUGACUUCAAAGACACCAGCUAAUGUAUGUUGUCUCACCAGCCUGUAGACUCCUGCUAUCCCGAGCACACAAGUUUGUAGACUGCUGCUAUCCUGAGCACACAAGUUUGGAACUAGACCUCAACGAUAAACGAUACUGCCUGUAUGACUAUACCGAAACAACUCAAAAUCUCCAUGUGCAUGACAUGAAGUUCGUACUAUUUUGUUCAUACAUCUUUAUAGCUUCACAUCUAAGUUCAAAACCUCUUCUUUUGUUGCAUCUAUUUAAUUGUUUUCAAAUAAAAUUAUAUGUGUUAUAUUGUUAUCAAUGUCACUCAUAUGGCCUUGAGAAAAUAAAUAAAAUACUAGACUGCAAUAAUGAUUGAUUGUUUACUUCUAGACAUCCUUUUAUGUGGCAUUCAAAGACAUUUUCAUUUAUCAUAUAAGAGGGAUCGAGGCCUGGUUAGAAACCAAUUGCGUUUUUGUAGUCGGUCUGUUUGAAAUGGAUAAGGGACCAACCACUGAUAUGCUAAAUAUUAGUGGCUUAGUUAACAAUUCUUUAUUUUUUAAAUAGGUCUGAUACACCAAAAAAUUAUUAGUGGCAUAGUAUUCCAGUAUAAUUAAGCUAAAUGAAUGAAUUAUUAGGACGACAAAAUGUACCCUAAGCAAAGUAAAUCAACCAAUUUGGUAUCUUCUCCUUUUCCUGGAGAUAUUAGUAGUUGGUCUGCUUAAAUGGUUCUGUAAUGUGUUUCACCAUUUAAGUUUAGAAUGUUGACCUUCUAAAAAUAGGAGAGUACUAAUAUAUGCCAGGGAUACAGAUGAGGGCCAUAUAAAGUACUCUGAGAUUGAGCAAGCAUGUGGAUUUAAAAGGUCCGUUUUUUCUCUAAUCUUACAAAAUAUUUCCAAAACUUAUAAGGUAUAUUAAGGUAAAAUUAGCAACUAAUAGAUAUUAUGGCACCAUUGUCAUGUAUAUAGUUUAGCCAAUACAUAUAUUCACAGGCCUGGGUGAGUGGGUAUUGGAAGCUAAAACUAUGACAGGAAGUCAUAUGGGUGAACGUCUGUACAUACCUAGAAUUGUGCUGAAUGCACCAUCUACAAAAUGGCCUUUCACGCUGCUGCGCCAGGAAAGUACCCAAUCUGAUUUUGCUAUCCAAUGAUAAUUUACAAAAUUCAGGGUCCAAAGCUUGAUAAGGUUGGCAUCUAUUUGUCAAAGACUAUGUAUUUGCACGGGUUCACUCUACUGAAAGCACCAAGCUUCCUGCUCUUCUUGUGUUGGGAUUUUUGAUGCCAAACUGCUUAAGAUAGCUGAGUCUGAAGCGCAAGUUUUGCCAUUAGUCUAUGCUCAAACCUUUUGUCAUCUUCUGUUCUAUCUGUAUAAAUACAUGGAGCUGUUUCAUGUGUAAUGCUUCAGCUUGAGCAUGUUGAUUUGGCCCAGUAGGUGUGUCAACUAUUGAAUUUAUCUGUCAGCAUGAACAUGGUACGGCUGUUUUAUC